AGCUGUGGAUCUGUAAAAAUAAGCUUCUCGAAGCUGGCGUGUUUCUGCUCAAAAUGGACUGGGUCUGAUUUGCUGUUUGAGUAAAACCAGAGGGAUGGAAAUUUGUAUUUCUGGUUUUUUUCCUUUUUGUCUUGACUGGAAGUUUUAUAGUUCUUUAUCUUAAAUGUUCCUAAGGGUUCAGUUAAGUUGUCUGGUUAUAAACCAGGUGUUUAUCUGAGAGCAUUUUGUGGGUGACAAAUACAAUAUAAAGCUGUUAUAGAUCUUUUCCUUCUGCUCCUUAAACAGGAAUACAACCUGUGUGACACCACAGGACAGCUGAGUGACAAUGCAGCUCCUUGCAGAUAAAACUCAAUUCAUCCGUGGAGUGAGAGGCAAGAGAACAGAGCCUUUGGUGAAGCUCUCAAAUGUUGAGCUUAAACUCCCCAGUGAGGAGCUGAAGUUUGCACAGCCAUGGAAGUGA
rnacentral:lncRNA from 1 species